rnacentral:tRNA from 1 species
CAUUAGAUGUCUGAUUAAAGUAAUGAUCUUUUAAAUCAUUCAUAGUAAAUUUACUUCUAAUGA